AAAUGUAACAAAUGAUUUUCCUUGAACAAUAACACACAAACAAUGGUGACUAAAAACACACUUGCCCUUAAACAUUUAGUAUAGUAGUGGAAAUUAAAUAUAAUUAAAUAAAAUUUAAGUUGUUGAAAUUUUCAGAAAAAAGGCAUUUCAGAAACCUGAAAAUUGUUGUUGAUUUUGUUUCAGUGAAUACACCAACAAGAUCCUCGACCCCCAGCACAUGCACUGAUACUCUUUCAGUCUCUUCAGCUGACUAUGAUGAGGCAGACAUAGCAGUGAACAGGCAGUCUCCACGGGCUUGCAGCAGAGAGACAUUGGAUGCUGAAAAGGCAAAACAGACUAUCCAAGAUGCCCUGGAAAAACAAUCUGGUGGUGAGGAAGUUUUGGAGGAAUACCAGGUAACUAAAACUUUGAAGCACAGCACCAGACGCCAACUUGUCAAUAUUGUUGUCAGUCACAUGACAGAGACUUACGGGAGGAUCCCCACCCGCAAACAGCGUGAGACUUAUGCUUUAGGAAUUGUUAGUCUCUUUCCUUCUUUGAGAGACCCAUUUUCAGCAAAGGGCUAUGAACAUUUUUAUGAUCCAGAGAAGGGGACCGGGUUUAUCUCUUGGCGCCUUAAAACUUUGUCAAGGAAGAACCCAAAACGGGGGCGCUCUGAGAUUUUUGAAAUAGGAGGACCAAGUCGCCGAAGAAGAGUAGAUGAUGGAGAACAGCUUUUUACUGAACACUUCUCAGAACAUUACCAUGCAUUUAAAGUACAGAGAUGCUGCGGUGUGAGUGGACUUCUUAAGGCCAGUGCUUUGAAAUUCUACAGACCUUUUGAUCUACAAAUUCCAUAUGGGUCAGAUGGUGAAUAUAUUGUACCUUUUUGUAUGUUGGUUUAAGCUGGUUGGUUGACUGGUUGCGUGAUU